AUCUCGAUAGUGUAGCGGUAGUUGCACGCGUCCCCUGGGUGGAUAGGGGGUGGGUUCGAUUCCCGCCUGAGACC